UACGUAGGAUGCAAGCGUUGUCCGGAAUUAUUGGGCGUAAAGAGUUCGUAGGCGGUUGCCUAAGUCUGUUGUUAAAGGCCUGAGCUCAACUCGGGUAUGGCAAUGGAUACUGGGCGGCUAGAGUGUGGUAGAGGUCACGGGAAUUCCAGGUGUAGCGGUGAAAUGCGUAGAUAUCUGGAGGAACACCAGUGGCGAAAGCGGCGAGCUGGUCCAUUACUGACGCUGAGGCGCGACAGCGUGGGGGAGCAAACAGG
rnacentral:rRNA from 1 species